rnacentral:rRNA from 1 species
UACCAGCACCCCGAGUGGUCGGGACGAUUAUUGGGCCUACAGCAUCCGUAGCCGGUUCUACAAGUCUUCCGUUAAAUCCACCUGCUUAACAGAUGGGCUGCGGAGGAUACUAUAGACCUAGGAGGCGGGAGAGGCAAGCGGUACUUAGUGGGUAGGGGUAAAAUCCGUUGAUCCAUUGAAGACCACCAGUGGCGAAGGCGGCUUGCCAGAACGCACUCGACGGUGAGGGAUGAAAGCUGGGGGAGCAAACCGG